UUUCUUGUCGGAGUGCCUAUAUUUCCACAGCAGCAUUCGCGAUGCCUUGACGCGGCAGGUCAGUGAAUUCCGGGAGCUUACAUAAGUAAGCGACGGGGUGAGCGGACGUAGCCAUCAAAGAGACAGCGCGAAGCAUGAAGUGGAAAAGGCUGAGACCGUUAAUUCGGGAUCCGCGGAACCUGAUCAGGUUAGAACCUGCGAAGGGAACAAGAGUAAUCCAUUC
rnacentral:ncRNA from 1 species